CCUUCUUCUCCUCCUUAAUGAUCCUCCCACAGGAGGCGCGCAGGUUGGAGAGAGCGCCGGCGAUGCUCAGGAGAAAACACUCUCAGCGUCUCCCCUCAGCAUACACACCGACGGCAAGUGGGACAGAAAUAGCAGCGGCAGUAAAGGAGAUGAUUGGCAGAGACAGAGGUGAUUGGCGGCGUUGAGAGCGCUACCUGCUCGCAGAUGUCGUUCAUGGCGGCCGCCAGCACGCGGUAGGCGCAGGUCUUCCCGCCAAAGGGCUCCCCCACCAGCAUGAACCCGUGGCGCACGAUCAUCAUCUCGAAGAUCUGCAGGAUUUUCUCAGCGAAGAAGUCGGUCAGCUGCAGGUUCAUCUUCACGCAGUUCACCUGGAUGGCGUCCAGAAGGAUCCGGUAGUCGGGCUUGGGCAGCGUCACUCCAGGGAACAGGUUGUCGGGCAGCUCGGAGCGGCCGGCGUAACCGGGGUUCAUGGUGAUGAACACGGCGCAGGUGGGGUCCAGCCUCAGCUCUGUCCCCUCAAACAGCAGCAUCUCGGAUUUGGCAGAAAUUCCUGAGGGGGA